CUGUGUUUCAUGGUUGAUUUCCUCUUUUUGGACCAUUCUGGAGCAGGACCCGUCCUUACUGGACAGAGAAACAGAGCUUUUACGAGUCAUCUUUAAGAAUGGAAAAGAAAAGUUCAAGAAAGAUAUAUUUUGUACUUUUACUGUAAAACUGUUUGUAAUUUUGUUUUAAUGUAUUACUUGUCACAAAAAAGAAUGGUAUUUAAACAUUAGUAAUAUUAUACAGUAAAAUAAAAUGGCUACACGUG